AACCUUACCUACCCUUGACAUGGUCGGAAUCCUGAAGAGAUUCGGGAGUGCUCGAAAGAGAACCGGCGCACAGGUGCUGCAUGGCUGUCGUCAGCUCGUGUCGUGAGAUGUUGGGUUAAGUCCCGCAACGAGCGCAACCCUUGUCCUUAGUUGCUACGCAAGAGCACUCUAAGGAGACUGCCGGUGACAAACCGGAGGAAGGUGGGGAUGACGUCAAGUCCUCAUGGCCCUUAUGGGUAGGGCUUCACACGUCAUACAAUGGUCGGAACAGAGGGUUGCCAACCCGCGAGGGGGAGCUAAUCCCAGAAAACCGUUCGUAGUCCGGAUUGCACUCUGCAACUCGAGUGCAUGAAGCUGGAAUCGCUAGUAAUCGCGUAUCAGCA
rnacentral:rRNA from 1 species